rnacentral:rRNA from 1 species
UACGGAGGGGGCUAGCGUUGUUCGGAAUUACUGGGCGUAAAGCGCGCGUAGGCGGACCUGCAAGUCGGGGGGUGAAAGCCCGAGGCUCAACCUCGGAACUGCCUUCGAUACUGCGGGUCUCGAGUCCGGGAGAGGUGAGUGGAAUUCCUAGUGUAGAGGUGAAAUUCGUAGAUAUUAGGAAGAACACCAGUGGCGAAGGCGGCUCACUGGCCCGGUACUGACGCUGAGGCGCGAAAGCGUGGGGAGCAAACGGG